rnacentral:lncRNA from 1 species
ACAGAUCUCACACUGUCACUUAGCCAUGGGUGGGGGCUGUGACUGGGGAGGUGUUUCUUGGAGGUGGUCAUUUUUGUUCUUUCAUGGCAGAGGAUCACACUGUUCAAAUCAGAAAUGACCUAGAUUUCUUCUUAAUGGACUCAGGGCUGUUGAGUAGAGCUUGGCCUUUUCUCUAAUGGGGAGAAUAAUAACCACGGCCAUUCCCUGCAGGCGUGGUGCUGAGAGCCUGGAGUGCCUGUUCAUCCCAUAAUAGCCACGUGGCUCAUAAGAUCCUUGGGAAAUGGGUUUUCAAGAUCCAAGACUCAGGAACAGGGUCAGUGGAGGCUGCAUUUUAGGAGGACCCUACCCUAGAGUAAAUAAGACAACAGUUUUCUUUCUUUUUUGCAGGAAAUAAUCACUGAUACCACAUUGUAAUUAAUGUAGGAGCCACGUCUGAAUAUAUUAAGAUU